GAACGCUAGCUACAGGCUUAACACAUGCAAGUCGAGGGGCAGCAUGGUCUUAGCUUGCUAAGGCCGAUGGCGACCGGCGCACGGGUGAGUAACACGUAUCCAACCUGCCGUCUACUCUUGGACAGCCUUCUGAAAGGAAGAUUAAUACAAGAUGGCAUCAUGAGUCCGCAUGUUCACAUGAUUAAAGGUAUUCCGGUAGACGAUGGGGAUGCGUUCCAUUAGAUAGUAGGCGGGGUAACGGCCCACCUAGUCUUCGAUGGAUAGGGGUUCUGAGAGGAAGGUCCCCCACAUUGGAACUGAGACACGGUCCAAACUCCUACGGGAGGCAGCAGUGAGGAAUAUUGGUCAAUGGGCGAGAGCCUGAACCAGCCAAGUAGCGUGAAGGAUGACUGCCCUAUGGGUUGUAAACUUCUUUUAUAAAGGAAUAAAGUCGGGUAUGGAUACCCGUUUGCAUGUACUUUAUGAAUAAGGAUCGGCUAACUCCGUGCCAGCAGCCGCGGUAAUACGGAGGAUCCGAGCGUUAUCCGGAUUUAUUGGGUUUAAAGGGAGCGUAGAUGGAUGUUUAAGUCAGUUGUGAAAGUUUGCGGCUCAACCGUAAAAUUGCAGUUGAUACUGGAUAUCUUGAGUGCAGUUGAGGCAGGCGGAAUUCGUGGUGUAGCGGUGAAAUGCUUAGAUAUCACGAAGAACUCCGAUUGCGAAGGCAGCCUGCUAAGCUGCAACUGACAUUGAGGCUCGAAAGUGUGGGUAUCAAACAGGAUUAGAUACCCUGGUAGUCCACACGGUAAACGAUGAAUACUCGCUGUUUGCGAUAUACUGCAAGCGGCCAAGCGAAAAGCGUUAAGUAUUUCCCACCUGGGGAGUA
rnacentral:rRNA from 1 species